rnacentral:rRNA from 1 species
CCUACGGGAGGCAGCAGUGAGGAAUAUUGGUCAAUGGGCGCGAGCCUGAACCAGCCAAGUAGCGUGAAGGAUGACUGCCCUACGGGUUGUAAACUUCUUUUAUAAAGGAAUAAAGUGAGGCACGUGUGCCUUUUUGUAUGUACUUUAUGAAUAAGGAUCGGCUAACUCCGUGCCAGCAGCCGCGGUAAUACGGAGGAUCCGAGCGUUAUCCGGAUUUAUUGGGUUUAAAGGGAGCGUAGAUGGGUUUUUAAGUCAGUUGUGAAAGUUUGCGGCUCAACCGUAAAAUUGCAAUUGAUACUGGCGGUCUUGAGUACAGUUGAGGUAGGCGGAAUUCGUGGUGUAGCGGUGAAAUGCUUAGAUAUCACGAAGAACUCCGAUAGCGAAGGCAGCUUACUAAACUGCCACUGACAUUGAUGCUCGAAAGUGUGGGUAUCAAACAGGAUUAGAUACCCUUGUAGUC